rnacentral:tRNA from 1 species
GGUUCAAGGUCCUCUAUCCCCA